GACGAAGGGGGCUAGCGUUGUUCGGAAUCACUGGGCGUAAAGCGCACGUAGGCGGACUCUUAAGUCGGUGGUGAAAUCCUGGAGCUCAACUCCAGAACUGCCUUCGAUACUGGGAGUCUUGAGUCCGGGAGAGGUGAGUGGAACUGCGAGUGUAGAGGUGAAAUUCGUAGAUAUUCGCAAGAACACCAGUGGCGAAGGCGGCUCACUGGCCCGGUACUGACGCUGAGGUGCGAAAGCGUGGGGAGCAAACAGG
rnacentral:rRNA from 1 species